CGCUCGGGCAUCGACCC
rnacentral:tRNA from 1 species